CAGCUUUUUUUCUGGACAUUCCCAUGCAAGUCCAGGGCACAUGAAGCUUGGAGUCAUAGAGUUUCCUGUCCCCCCACUCCAGGCCCGCUUCAGUGGAGUAGUGUAUAGAAGGGAAAUGCAGUCUUCACUGAGGAGCAGUUCACACACAUCACUCGUACCUGCUUUCCUUCUACCUGCCUGUCACAUGGUUUGUUCAACAUUCUAACAAAACAGCAUGCCCAGAAGCCUAAACCCAUAGGCAUUGGAUCUGGUAAAUAAAUCUUUGAGAAGGUUGCAUACAUU